rnacentral:rRNA from 1 species
UGCGUAGGCGGCCAGAUCAGUCAGGCGUGAAAGUUUUCGGCUUAACCGGAAAAUUGCGUUUGAUACUGUUUGGCUAGAAUCAGGAUGAGGUUGGCGGAAUGUGGCAUGUAGCGGUGAAAUGCAUAGAUAUGCCAUAGAACACCGAUUGCGAAGGCAGCCGACUGGACCUGAAUUGACGCUGAGGCACGAAAGCGUGGGUAGCGAACAGGAUUAGAUACCCUGGUAGUCC